AUGAGAUACAUCAGAGAGUUGGAGGAUUGUAAACCCAAGAAGAGUGUACCGCAUUCAGCCCCAAGUGCUGAAGAGACAAGGCAAAACUGGAUCCCUCCACCGCCGGGGCUCUCGAAGAUCAGAGUGGAUGGUGCGGUCUUGAGAGAUAACCUGCAUGGCUCGUUCAGCGCCAUUUGCAGAGACUCCUCUAGUCAGUUCUUGGGCGCAUCAGCAAUUAAAAUACAUGGGAUCACGGAGCCUGCAACUCUCGAAGCGCUAGCUUGCCGGGAGGCGCUAGCAUUAGCUUCAAACUUGGCUUUGACCGAUUUCAUUGUUGCUACUGACUGUCAGGGUGUUGUAAACGAUAUCAAGCAUGGUACAGGAGGGACGUAUGCAAGCACUGUCAAGGAGAUUAUUGAGACGUCAAGAGAUUUUCAUCAGUUUACCUUCAUCUUCCAAGGUAGAUCCACCAAUAUUGAGGCGCAUAGUCUUGCUAAGCACACUUUCGGUCUGGAUUUUGGGCGCCAUUUGUGGCUUAUAAACCCACCAGACAUUCAUUGUAUCCCUAUGAACUUCCUUGAAUAA
rnacentral:rRNA from 1 species